rnacentral:pre_miRNA from 1 species
AUUCUACUCCCUCCGUUGCACAAUACAUGCCUUCUAUUUGUCAAAAUAUAUAUGUAUCUAGACAUGUUUUAGUAUAUAGGUACAUCCAUUUUUGGACAAAUGAAGUCAAGUAUUUUGGAAUGGAGGGGGUACACA